rnacentral:rRNA from 1 species
AAUAUUGGGCAAUGGGCGCAACCCUGACCCAGCAACGCUGCGUGAAGGAAGAAGGCUUUCGGGUUGUAAACUUCUUUUAAGAGGGAAGACGUGAAGACGGUACCUCUUGAAUAAGCCACGGCUAACUACGUGCCAGCAGCCGCGGUAAUACGUAGGUGGCAAGCGUUGUCCGGAUUUACUGGGUGUAAAGGGCGUGCAGCCGGGAGUUCAAGUCAGAUGUGAAAUCCCGCGGCUUAACCGCGGAACUGCAUUUGAAACUGAAUUUCUUGAGUACCGGAGAGGUCAUCGGAAUUCCUUGUGUAGCGGUGAAAUGCGUAGAUAUAAGGAAGAACACCAGUGGCGAAGGCGGAUGACUGGACGGCAACUGACGGUGAGGCGCGAAAGCGUGGGGAGCAAA